CAAAAUCGAAAAAAAAUAAAAUGAAAUCUUGGAAUAAUUAUUUUAUUAGAUAAUAUUACGAGGAGAAAAACGAAAAAAAAUAUAAGAAUAACAUAUACCUAGAGAGAAUAUAAAUAGGCUAAUUCUUCAUGUGUUUAGCUCUAAAGGGGUCGCAAUGAUAUCAAAGGGUAUAUAACAAUGUACAAGAAAAAAAACCUGUCUGGUAAAAGAUAACAGAUUGAUUGCUCGAUUGUUCUAUUUGACAUGCACCUGUAGUGAAUCCAACUUGUCAACGAGAAGUUUCAAUACACCACCAGUGCUUAGGGGUUGGUGGGACACGGUCACUAGAAACAUCGAUCAAUCUAGUAAAACUUGUGGCUAUUGACAUCUAGAGACUUCGUUACUAAUUAUUACCAAGUUGGGUUUCAAUGCGACACCAGUUAGGCGGUAAACGGUGACAACAAAACAUCGAUCGAUCACGUCCCUACUUGUGGUUAGUCAUUGUCUAGAAGAGGCUUUGCGGUAGAAUCAUUGUCAAGAUAACUGUCAAAACCUUACCAGUGGUAGGUCCCAUGUCAAGUCCCCCAAGCAGAUCCAGAAGAUCCCCACCAGACGAUGCUGGUUUUGGAACAGCUAAUGGUUCAGGCGGAGCUGUAUUUAUAGUUUCRCCUCCACCAAGAAGAUCAAGAAGAGCAUCAGACUGCAAACAAAAUGCACAAAAAUGAAAUAAACAAUUGCUUUACCUA